CCCUUAGAUGUCCUGGGCCGCACGCGCGCUACACUGAUGCAUGCAACGAGUUUCAUUUCUCCUGGGUCGAGAGGCCCGGGUAAUCUGUUGAACGUGCAUCGUGAUAGGGAUAGAUCAUUGCAAUUAUUGAUCUUGAACGAGGAAUUCCUAGUAAACGCGAGUCAUCAGCUCGCAUUGAUUACGUCCCUGCCCUUUGUACACACCGCCCGUCGCUCCUACCGAUUGAAUGCUCAGGUGAGCCAUUCGGACCUUCAUCAUGCCGGUUUCCGGUUUUGAUGAGGGAAAGUCUUGCGAACCUUAUCAUUUAGAGGAAGGAGAAGUCGUAACA
rnacentral:rRNA from 1 species